CCUACGGGGGGCAGCAGUCGCGAAAACUUUGCAAUACACGAAAGUGUGACAGGGUCAUCCCGAGUGCCGACCGCUGAGGUUGGCUUUUACCCAGUCUAGAAAGCUGGGGGAAUAAGGAGAGGGCAAGUCUGGUGUCAGCCGCCGCGGUAAUACCAGCUCUCCGAGUGGUGUGGACGUUUAUUGGGCCUAAAGCAUCCGUAGCUGGCUGAACAAGUCCCCUGUUAAACCCACCGAUUUAAUCGUUGGUCUGCGGGGGAUACUGCUCGGCUAGGGGACGAGAGAGGCAGACGGUAUUCCCGGGGUAGGGGUGAAAUCCUAUAAUCCCGAGAAGACCACCAGUGGCGAAGGCUGUCUGCUAGAACGCGCCCGACGGUGAGGGAUGAAAGCUGGGGGAGCGAACCGGAUUAGAUACCCGAGUAGUCGGG
rnacentral:rRNA from 1 species